AGAGUUUGAUCCUGGCUCAGAAUCAACGCUGGCGGCGCGCCUAACACAUGCAAGUCGAACGAGAAAGCCCUUUCCGGGGUGAGUACACUGGCGAACGGGGGAGUAACAAAUGUGUUACCUGCCCUUGAGUGGGGAAUAUCUCCGGGAAAAUGGAGCUAAAACCCCAUACACCACUUCGGGGGGAAAGCUUUAUGGUCUCGAGGAUGGGCCCGCCCCCCCAUUAGAUGUUGGUGGGGUAAUGGCCUACCAAGGCAUCUAUCGAUCCCCCGCCUGAAAGGGCGCACGGUCGCCUUGGAACUGAAACACUCGCCCGACUCCUACGGCAGGCACCCGAGUCCAAUCUUAGGCAAUGGGGGAAACCCUGAUCCAAUGACGCCAAGUGAUUGACGAAGGCCUUCCGGUCGUAAAGAUCUUUCUCCGGUCACUAUAAUCUAUGUACCCGAAAAAACAUGACCGGCUAACUACGUGCCGGCAGCCGCGGUAAUACGUAGGCUCCAAGCUUUGUUUCAAUUACUGGGCGUAAAGCGAGUGUAGGCGGUUUGCCAAGUCGAUUGUGAAAUCUCCUCACUCAACUGGGAGGGUGCGGUCGAUACUGGCAGGCUAGAGUGCGGGAGAGGAAGGUAGAAUUCCUGGUGUAGCGGUGGAAUGCGUAGAUAUCAGGAGGAAUACCGGUGGUGAAGACGGCCUUCUGGUCCGCAACUGACGGCAGACUAGAAAGCGUAGGGAGCAAACAGGAUUAGAUACCCUUGUAGUCCACGCCCUAAACGAUGCAUACUUGGUGUGGUAUCUUCACUGGGUCCGUGCCGGAGAUAACGUGUUAAGUAUCCCGCGUGGAGAGUACGGUCGCAAGGAUGAAUCUCAAAAAAAUUCACGGGGCCCCGCACAAGCGGUAGCACAUGUGGUUUAAUUCGACGCAACGAAAGGCACCUUACCUGGGCUACAACCGCAGAACACCGCCCAAAACACAGGGCUUCCCUUUGGGAACCACAGUACAGGUGCUGCAUGGCUGUCGUCAGCUCGUG
rnacentral:rRNA from 1 species